AGACUCCCUCUCUGUCUCUCUCACUCACCGUAUCUGCUUCCUUCUCUCAACAAAAUUACAAAACCUAGCCUCCAAUGCCACUUUCUUCUUCAAGCUGUGUCACCGCCACCGCACUACCGCCGCCGUCGCGAUCUGCGCCUCCGCCGUCCGCACUGCACCCAUGGUCGUCGAAACGCGUCUGCUCGCCUCGCUUUCCCGUCAGUUUUGAGCUUCCGCGUCUGUUCUGAGCUUCCGCCGCCUCUGUAUCGCCGUGCUUCCGCCGCGGUACUCCCUCUUCGUCGCUUGGUCGAGCUUGCCUCAAGCCCUUGUUUUUGCUCCAGCCUGCUGUUAUCACCACGCUUCGGCCUCUGUUUUGGCUGAGCUUACGCCAGUGCUCAGCCCUGAUCUGAGCUCCCUCUCCCUCAUCUGAAAUGCUGAAUCUCUGUUGUUCAUGGUUUUUUUUAAAUCGAUUGGACCAGUAAACCAGUGACUAAAACGGUUCGAUGACCAGUCCGGUUCUCAGAACCUUGAUUAUAUACAAAUUGCAUCCAAAUACAUUGAUUUAUGAAUGUACCAGAAAAGUUAUAACGACUUAUCAAUAUGAAAAUGACAGGUUACUUAGCAGGUUUG